AUUUUACCCUGACGAAAACAAAAGCAGUCUCAGGUUUCGUCCGGCAAAAUUCAUUGCGUCUUGUUCUCGUGGCAUCCCGAUUGAGGGACGUGUUCAUCCUGAUUUGGUGGCUCUGGCGAUCUGCAGUGGCGGAGAAUCCUGGAGUGUUGUUACGAGCAGUGCAUGGCGGAGAAACAACUGAUUGUGGUGGUGGAGGGCACGGCUGCUCUUGGGCCAUACUGGCAAACUUUGGUAUCCGAGUACCUUGAGAAGAUCCUCAGGUGCUUUUGUGGAAAUGAAUUGAAUGGACAGGUCUGAUGAGGAGACCAUCUCUCACAACUUCCUCAACUUCUCUUUUACCAAGCAAGUUUGGUCCCUCUAACUCCAGUUUUUAAAGGGCCUUUUCACCGGUUACAAUUGCAAAAAUCAGUUUGAUUGGCGGAAUGACUGCUCUACAAUGCCUAAUCUCCUUCUAAGAAUUCCUCCUUUAAUUAACAGUUGGUUCAUCUGGGUGACUAGAAAUGAAUUGAAACAUGGUCGGAAUGAUGUUCAGAGAACUCCCCUAGCUGUCGUCUCUAUAAUUUGUGUUCACAUCCGAAAAAUUCAGCUGUAUGGUAAAUUGGCAGGCUAUCCUAAUGCUGAUGGUAAUAAGCCUCCUGCCAAUUGAGUUAAGAUAAACGUGUAUGGGAGUUACUUCCCCAAUAUUGCUGGUUGUGGUGGUAUCUGCAGGGACAAUAUGGGUAAAGCUCUAUUGGUCUUUGGUGCUCCUCUUCAGCCUGUUUUCCCUCUAAAUUUUAAAGCUUUUGCUGUUUUG